rnacentral:rRNA from 1 species
CGGAGGAAAAGAAACCAACAGGGAUUGCCUCAGUAACGGCGAGUGAAGCGGCAACAGCUCAAAUUUGAAAUCUGGCCCUAGGCCCGAGUUGUAAUUUGCAGAGGAUGCUUUUGGUGCGGUGCCUUCCAAGUUCCCUAGAACGGGACGCCAGAGAGGGUGAGAGCCCCGUACAGUUGGACACCAAGCCUUUGUAAAGCUCCUUCGACGAGUCGAGUAGUUUGGGAAUGCUGCUCAAAAUGGGAGGUAUAUUUCUUCUAAAGCUAAAUACCGGCCAGAGACCGAUAGCGCACAAGUAGAGUGAUCGAAAGAUGAAAAGCACUUUGAAAAGAGGGUUAAACAGCACGUGAAAUUGUUAAAAGGGAAGCGCUUGUGACCAGACUUGCGUCCGGUGAAUCACCCAGCUCUCGCGGCUGGGGCACUUCGCCGGCUCAGGCCAGCAUCAGCUCGCUGUCGGGGACAAAAGCUUCAGGAACGUAGCUCUCUUCGGGGAGUGUUAUAGCCUGUUGCACAAUACCCUUCGGCGGGCUGAGGUACGCGC